AGAGUUUGAUCCUGGCUCAGAACGAACGCUGGCGGCGUGCUUAACACAUGCAAGUCGAACGGGAUCCAGAGCUUGCUCUGGUGAAAGUGGCGCACGGGUGAGUAACGCGUGGAUAACCUGCCCUGGUAUCCGGAAUAACAUCUCGAAAGGGGUGCUAAUACCGGAUAAGCCUACGGAGCCCUCGGACUCUGCAGGAAAAGGUGGCCUCUAUUUAUAAGCUACCGUAUCAGGAUGGGUCCGCGUACCAUUAGCUAGUUGGUGGGGUAAUGGCCCACCAAGGCGACUAUGGUUAGCUGGUCUGAGAGGAUGAUCAGCCACACUGGAACUGAGACACGGUCCAGACUCCUACGGGAGGCAGCAGUGGGGAAUUUUGCGCAAUGGGGGAAACCCUGACGCAGCAACGCCGCGUGAGUGAUGAAGGCUUUCGGGUCGUAAAGCUCUGUCAGAGGGGAAGAAAUGAGCCUGGCUAAUAUCCAGGUU
rnacentral:rRNA from 1 species